rnacentral:tRNA from 1 species
GGGCUCAUAGCUCAGCUGGAUAGAGCAACGGUCUUCUAAACCGUGGGUCUGGGGUUCAAAUCCCUAUGGGCCCGCCA